rnacentral:rRNA from 1 species
GAUGAACGCUGGCGGCGUGCCUAACACAUGCAAGUCGAACGGACUUACAUUGAAGCCUAGCGAUAUGUAAGUUAGUGGCGGACGGGUGAGUAACGCGUGGGUAACCUGCCUUGUACUGGGGGACAACAGUUGGAAACGACUGCUAAUACCGCAUAAGCGCACAGCUUCGCAUGAAGCAGUGUGAAAAACUCCGGUGGUACAAGAUGGACCCGCGUCUGAUUAGCUGGUUGGUGAGGUAACGGCCCACCAAGGCAACGAUCAGUAGCCGGCCUGAGAGGGUGAACGGCCACAUUGGGACUGAGACACGGCCCAAACUCCUACGGGAGGCAGCAGUGGGGAAUAUUGCACAAUGGGGGAAACCCUGAUGCAGCAACGCCGCGUGAGUGAAGAAGUAUUUCGGUAUGUAAAGCUCUAUCAGCAGGGAAGAAGAAAUGACGGUACCUGACUAAGAAGCACCGGCUAAAUACGUGCCAGCAGCCGCGGU